GGUAUUUUGACUAUACGAAGGUAUUGAAAUAAGGCUUUAAUUGAGUGCUAAAAGAAUGGUUGAACAAGGAUUGGCUUUCUUUAAAAUCAUAAUAAAAGUUAAUUUAAAAAUGAAAAAGUUUUUAUUAAUUUUUGGGACAAGAAGACCCUAUGAAUUUUUAUUUAGAAAUUUUUUGAUGUUUUUAAUUGAAAAAAUUAAGAAAAAUUUAAAUUUAAUUGGGGUGAUUUUUAAAUAUAUGUAACUUUAAAAAUAGGAGUAAUUGGAACCAAAAAUUUUGGUUCUUUGAGUAAAAUACUCUAGGGAUAACAGCGUUAUUACUUUGGAUAGUUCAUAUAGAUAAAGUAGUUUGCGACCUCGAUGUUGGAUUAGGAUACUUAAGUAAUGAAGAAGUUACAUUAAGAAGUUUGCUCAACUUUUAAAAUCCU
rnacentral:rRNA from 1 species